UUCGAUUCGAGCGCAGCGAGAAAGCGUUGCCGCAGGCAACGACCCGAAGGGUGAGGAGCGGAGCGACGAAUAAUCCUUCCCCCACCACCA
rnacentral:sRNA from 1 species